ACUCAAAGGAAUUGACGGGGGCUCACACAAGCGGUGGAGCAUGUUGCUUAAUUCGAGGCAACGCGAAGAACCUUACCUGGGUUUGACAUGCUUGGAUUAACCCCGUGAAAGCGGGGCCACACCCUUCGGGUGGAACAAGCACAGGUGCUGCAUGGCUGUCGUCAGCUCGUGCUGUGAAGUGUCAGGUUAAGUCCUUUAACGAGCGCAACCCCUAUCGUUAGUUGCUCACGGGUCAUGCCGAGUACUCUAGCGAGACUGCCGGUGUCAAACCGGAGGAAGGUGGGGAUGACGUCAAGUCCUCAUGGCCCUUACAUCCAGGGUUGCAAACGUGCUACAAUGGCGCGCACAAAGCGACGCAAGAGCGCAAGCUGGAGCAAAUCGCAAAAAACGCGCCCCAGUUCGGAUUGCGGGCUGCAACUCGCCCGCAUGAAGUCGGAAUCGCUAGUAAUCGGAGAUCAGCUACGCUCCGGUGAAUGUGUUCCUGAGCCUUGCACACACCGCCCGU
rnacentral:rRNA from 1 species